CAGCCGCCGCGGUAAAACGAAGGGUGCAAGCGUUAAUCGGAAUUACUGGGCGUAAAGCGUGCGUAGGCGGUUUGUUAAGUCUGCUGUGAAAUCCCCGGGCUCAACCUGGAAAUGGCAGUGGAUACUGGCAAGCUAGAGUGUGUCAGAGGAUGGUGGAAUUCCCGGUGUAGCGGUGAAGUGCGUAGAGAUCGGGAGGAACAUCAGUGGCGAAGGCGGCCAUCUGGGACAACACUGACGCUGAGGCACGAAAGCGUGGGGAGCAAGCAGGAUUAGAUACCCGCGUAGUCCCUGUCUCUUAUAC
rnacentral:rRNA from 1 species